rnacentral:ncRNA from 1 species
UACCUGGUUGAUCCUGCCAGUAGUCAUAUGCUUGUCUCAAAGAUUAAGCCAUGCAAGUCUAAGUACGAGCUCUCGUACAGUGAAACUGCGAAUGGCUCAUUAAAUCAGUUAUGGUUCAUUUGAUCGUACAGUUUACUUGGAUAACUGUGGUAAUUCUAGAGCUAAUACAUGCUAGAAGCGCCGACCUCGCGGGAGGCGUGCAUUUAUCAGACCAAAAACCGGCCGCGUCUUCGGGCGCGUUCGCCUUGGUGACUCUGGAUAACUUUGCGGAUCGCACGGUCUAGCACCGGCGACGGAUCAUUCAAAUGUCUGCCCUAUCAACUUUCGUCGGUACGGUAUUUGCCUACCGAGGUUCUUACGGGUGACGGGGAAUCAGGGUUCGAUUCCGGAGAGGGAGCCUGAGAAACGGCUACCACAUCCAAGGAAGGCAGCAGGCGCGCAAAUUACCCAUUCCCGACGCGGGGAGGUAGUGACGAAAAAUAACAAUGCAGGACUCGUUCGAGGCCCUGUAAUUGGAAUGAGUACACUUUAAAAGCUUUAACGAGUAUCCAUUGGAGGGCAAGUCUGGUGC